GAACGUUGCUGGAUCGUAGUAGAAGCCCUCGAACUCUAUAGUGCCAACGCCAUCGGAUCGGGGAGGAGGUUGAUUGCAAAUAUCUGAGGUGAAAAACCAAAUUAAUGUCUGUAGGACCAAUGAUGUGUCACCUUGACUGAAGGUUGGCUGGCAACUCACCCGGUAUCGAUUGCGAGGAUCCGACGUAUCGUGCCUCUGCGGGGUGGUAGUGGAGCAGCACUCCCAGAAGCACCACCAACCACAGCGAUAGCACCACCAACGGAGGCUUAGGUCGAGACAUCUGGACGUGCAACUGGCAACUAAGUGAGCGAAUGAAGCGAUUGAGUGAGUGUCGGGCUUCGGACUCAAGUAGGAACUUGGGGCGAUAAGAAAACGAUAAGAAUUCCAAACAGAUGAAUGAAGCUCACACUUUUAUAAUCUGUGCGAAAGUAUACAAUCUUUUGUUGACUUUAUAAUCAACUAUAAUCCUUUUCUAAACAGAAAAAGAGACUCAAGUAGUUUGGCGCUUUUUUUAAUCUUUCAUUCACAUCUUUAUACAUACUCUUCAAUAAAAAGGUUCACAAGGACGUACA